ACCUGGCUGGCUCAAUCAGAACAGCAUGUGACUCUGGAUCUCAGGAUCAUGAGUUCAAGCCCCAUGUUGGGCA
rnacentral:tRNA from 1 species